rnacentral:tRNA from 1 species
ACACCUGUGGCCGAGUGGUUGAUUGCAAUGAGCUCAUAACUCAUUUUCACAAGAACAACGCUGGUUCGAAUCCAGCCAGGUGUA